rnacentral:rRNA from 1 species
UACGUAGGCAGCGAGCGUUGUUCGGAAUUACUGGGCGUAAAGGGCGCGUAGGCGGCGAUCCGAGUCAGAUGUGAAGGUCCUGGGCUUAACCUGGGGACUGCGUUUGAUACGUGCGGGCUUGAGUUCGGAAGAGGGUCGUGGAAUUCCCAGUGUAGAGGUGAAAUUCGUAGAUAUUGGGAAGAACACCGGUGGCGAAGGCGGCGACCUGGUCCGAUACUGACGCUGAGGCGCGAAAGCGUGGGGAGCAAACAGG